rnacentral:rRNA from 1 species
GAUGAACGCUGGCGGCGUGCCUAAUACAUGCAAGUCGAGCGAACGGACGAGAAGCUUGCUUCUCUGAUGUUAGCGGCGGACGGGUGAGUAACACGUGGAUAACCUACCUAUAAGACUGGGAUAACUUCGGGAAACCGGAGCUAAUACCGGAUAAUAUUUUGAACCGCAUGGUUCAAAAGUGAAAGACGGUCUUGCUGUCACUUAUAGAUGGAUCCGCGCUGCAUUAGCUAGUUGGUAAGGUAACGGCUUACCAAGGCAACGAUGCAUAGCCGACCUGAGAGGGUGAUAGGCCACACGAGGACGGAGACACGGUCCAUACUCCUACGGGAGGCAGCAGUAGGGAAUCUUCCGCAAAGGGCGAAAGCCUGACGGAGCAACGCCGCGUGAGUGAUGAAGGUCUUCGGAUCGUAAAACUCUGUUAUUAGGGAAGAACAUAUGUGUAAGUAACUGUGCACAUCGUGACGGUACCUAAUCAGAAAGCCACGGCUAACUACGUG